CAAUUUGAAAGUACAUUUAAUAUAGUUGAAAUAACUGAAUUUUUGGUUGAUAAAAUAUUGACUGGUUAAUGGUAAGUAAAGUUUGGGGAGGACUAUGCUUUUGUGAUUUUCUGUAACAAUUUUUGACCCACCUCAUGUUGUGUGUAGAAUUGGAAAAGUUGGGCAAGGAACUUAGGUUGAUCAAAGGAUACCCCUAUAAGGAGCAAGGGGGUUCAACAUCCACAUGGGACAGGGUGUCAACAACUUUAUUGACUACGUUUUUUUGCCAGAGUUUGAAUGGUAGAUUCAAAAGUGCUUCCCAAGUAAGUAAUGAUGCCAUUUUUGAACUGUGGAUGUGAUGGCAAACAUAUAUCUCUCAUAUGCGGAUGCCACUUGCAUUUGGGAUGACAAUUUGUGACUGAAGAAGGCGAUGGACUGAUCUUUUUUUGAUACAACAACCCCUACGACCAUACUUGAAGCAUCCAUCUUAACAUCAAAGGGCAAAGUGAAGUCAAGAAGGCCCAAC
rnacentral:lncRNA from 1 species